CGCAUUAACAUGCUCAUUACUGUCAUGCAAAAAGCAACAAGAAUAUAUUAUUUAAAUUGUAAAGUAUGUAUACAUCAUGUUAGUUUUUGCUAUUUUAUUAUUUUUUUAUUUGUACUGGUUCUUUUUUCUUUUCUUUUUUUUUUUAACUUAAUUACAUUUACAAGAUUUUAAAAAUCUCAUGAAAAUAAUGUGACAGCGGUAAUAAAAAUAAGACUUUUAGAUUUAAUUUAUGUAUAAUCUAAUAAAAUUUUUGGAUGAAUUUAACCACAACGUAUUCUUGAUAGACUGUGAGAUGCAUCCAGUAGUAAACAGUGCUAAUGUGACCAUUGUUGCAUUACUAGUAACUAAAGGAAACGUCUCCAACACUAGAUAGACAGAAUCUCACUGAGGGUCUCUGUUGGCACGUGGGGGGUGUUUGUGUGCCGAUCUUUAUUUUUAUCUUCUGCAUGACAGAAUAAGACCCAUUGAAAUUAAGAUCCAGUCCUUUUGUUUAUUUCUAAAUGCUGAGGAUAUCAUUGUAAGUGUGUUCAUUUUUAAUAACACCAGUACAAUAGACACAUUCUGACCCAUGAAUGACGAAACACAUGGACGUGCCAAUGCAUCCACAGGGAUGUCUCCGAGGAAAAACUGAGAAAUGGCCAUCAUUAUUAUUUGUUAGACACAUUGAGGCUCUUAAAAUCGGUCGUGUGCUGAAAAGGGGCCUAGAGAUGCACAAGUGCCACUUUAUUAUUCAUUAUGUUAUUCAUUAUUCAUCCAUUAACACCCUGCACCAGCUGCUCCGUCGCUCUUCUCUUAUAAUGAGGGAGCUGUCCAUUUUUUCAUUUAUCGACUGCUAAACAGCACUCCAUCUUCUUGACUUUUUCAUUACCAUUCUGCCAUCUUUCAUUGUUUGUCUUCCAUCUCUGUUUGUCCAUGUCUCUUGUAAGUUCUCUGAUGGCAGCGUCUGUGUUUGUCAGCCCGUCACACACAGAAGAAGGCACACUCCUCCAGAAGACAAAAGCUGGGUAUAUUCUCCUCUGCACUUCAGCUCAGGGCCUAAAACCCUGGCAGAGGAUGAAGAGGAGAGUGAAACAUAAUCAAACCUCAGGAAAGAGGGGCAGCUACAAGAUUUUUCACAGAUCCUCAGAUUUUCCCACCAAAAUCAGUACGAUGUCAUCAGGGCCUGGUUAUUUAGAGACUGAAAGAUGGGACCAAACAUAUUGUGUGGGAGGCCAAAUCUUUAAAAGAACUUAAUCGCAAUCAUUUCACUAUCAGAAAUAUUUGUUAAAGCGUUUAAUUGUAAAGCCCAAUGUAUAGAAUUUGUGUGUGUCUAUGCAUUGAUUGUGUUUGUGGUUUUGAGUA
rnacentral:lncRNA from 1 species